rnacentral:rRNA from 1 species
AUGAAAAAAGAAGAGCGUUGGGAAGCGCAAGAGAAGGAGUGGGAGGCGGUGUUCGCCGAGGCAAGGGAACAGGUGGCCGACGAGGCUAAAGCAGCGAGAGAGCUGCUCGCGGGCGAGGCUAAAGUUGCUGGGGAGCUGCUCGCGGGUGAUGCUAAAGCUGUUGGAGAGCUACUGGCAGGCGAGGCUAAAGAUGCGGGAGAGCUUCUCACCGACGAGGCUAAGCAGGCGAGAGGGAUGCUAGCCGGCGGGGACGAGCUCGAUGGGGCGGUGCUACCGAUGGUGGGCGGUGGUGGAAAGGUUGACGGCAUCUCCGGUAAGCCAACGGUGGCCUGCCUGCCACCGUGUGCCUCCAACGCGUCGGGAUCCGGAGAGAUCCCAAUCAUCUACCUGUCAUCCGACGAGGAAUGA